GACGAACGCUGGCGGCGUGCUUAACACAUGCAAGUCGAACGGAAAGGCCCUGCUCUUGUGGGGUGCUCGAGUGGCGAACGGGUGAGUAACACGCGAGUAACCUGCCCUUGACUUUGGGAUAACUUCAGGAAACUGGGGCUAAUACCGGAUAGGAGCUCCUGCUGCAUGGUGGGGGUUGGAAAGUUUCGGCGGUUGGGGAUGGACUCGCGGCUUAUCAGCUUGUUGGUGGGGUAGUGGCUUACCAAGGCUUUGACGGGUAGCCGGCCUGAGAGGGUGACCGGCCACAUUGGGACUGCGAUACGGCCCAGACUCCUACGGGAGGCAGCAGUGGGGAAUAUUGCACAAUGGCCGGAAGCCUGAUGCAGCAACGCCGCGUGCGGGAUGACGGCCUUCGGGUUGUAAACCGCUUUCGCCUGUGACGAGGCGUGAGUGACGGUAAUGGGUAAAGAAGCACCGGCUAACUACGUG
rnacentral:rRNA from 1 species